rnacentral:rRNA from 1 species
GAUGCCUCCUAGAUUUGAAAGUAAAAGUCGUACCAAGGUUUCCGUAGGUGAACCUGCGGAACGAUCA